UCUAAUGUGGCAGAUAAGUGCAAUGGAUUUAAGCUCCUUUUAUGAAUACUCCUUUUCCAUUAGAA
rnacentral:tRNA from 1 species